rnacentral:rRNA from 1 species
UACAGAGGUCCCAAGCGUUGUUCGGAUUCAUUGGGCGUAAAGGGUGCGUAGGCGGCGCGGUAAGUCGGGUGUGAAAUCUCGGAGCUUAACUCCGAAACUGCAUUCGAUACUGCCGUGCUUGAGGACUUGGAGAGGAGACUGGAAUUUACGGUGUAGCGGUGAAAUGCGUAGAUAUCGUAAGGAAGACCAGUGGCGAAGGCGGGUCUCUGGACAGUUCCUGACGCUGAGGCACGAAGGCCAGGGGAGCAAACGGG